ensembl:lncRNA
UUUUUUUUUUUUAAGACAGUCUCACUGUGUCACGAAGGCUGGAGUGCAGUGGGGUGAUCUCAGUCCACUGCGACCUCCACCUCUCAGGUUCAAGUGAUUCUCAUGCCUCAGCCUCCCGAGUAGCCUGGAUUACAAGUGCCCACCACCACACCAGAUGAAUUUUUGUAUUUUUAGUAGAGACGUGAAUCACCAUGUUGGCCAGGCUGGUCUCAAACUCCUGACCUCAGGUGAUUCUCCCAUCUCAGCCUCCCAAAGUGCUGGGAUUACAGGCAUGAGCCACUGCACUCAGCCUAGGUUGUCUCAACUUUUCCUUCCUCCCUGACCUUUCCUCCUGUCUCCUCCUCCACCUCCUAUCACCUAAACAUAGGGAAUCUUCAAUGAUCUCUUUGGGUUGAGCAGACUUAUUUAUCAGCAAUGCCUUGUAUGUUCCUUACCUCCCCUUCCCAUCACACAGUACUAACCACUAUAAGAUCACGGCUUUACCUCCCCUUCAGUAUUUGCACUAUUUCUAGUGUUUGCCACACUCAUCUGACAAGGAAAGAGGCAAGCUAAGAGCACACAUGGGUCCCUGAGGGUCCCUGAGGCUCACAGGUAUUGAGGUCUGCUCUGGAAGAUGCCUCGUGAGCCCUGGUGACCAAAGUCUCAGCAUGUAGUGCAUUGGCCAGUGAGGAGUGUAUAGCCUUCAAAGGACCACUUGGAGGCUGCCAUAGUUUCCUAGAGGUUGAGUGACUCAGAUCCCCAAAGACUCAGCAGUCACUCAUCCAGAGGGAAUGGGCCAAAGCAACUCCUGGCACUCAGACUUUGAAGCUGUUCUGGGAGUCAGGUAAGUUGGAAGGCAGCAUGAUUGUGUCAGCCCAGAAAACUUAGUUCCUUAAAAUAACGAAAGUUCUAUAGUAGCUGACUUUGCCUUUUCCCUACGUUAGAAAGAGAAUCCAUAGGCUUUUGGUUAAUAUGAGAUACUACGAUCAAGAAAGGCAGCAGCUGGAGUACAGGCCUAGGCCCUCAGAACAUCCCUUUAUCUUUGGAGGAAGGACAAGGCUCCAUUUGUGAGCCUCCAUUUGCAAGAGUGAGUGGACCUUGUUGCUCCUGCCAAGAACUGGGAAAACUCUUAAUUGGAAAGACACCAAGCUGUGGCUUUCUAUGAGAGCAGAUCCUGACUUGGACUUCAAAGGAAUGAUCCCCAGAAGGGUUAGUUAAAUAUGUGUGUUGAGGAUUUCAAAAAGAUAUGAAUGCUUACUAUGUGUCAAGCCCUGUGCUAGUCACUUUAUGUAUGUGUGAGAAAAGUAAGUUAAGACCAAUUAAUUUUUUCAUCCUCCUAGGGAUGAGCACACCCAUAUACUCUACAACCAGUAAAAAGAAUAAGACAAUUCUGAUAUGUAAUAAUCUUCAAUAUGGGCUGGGCGUGGUGGUGGCUCACGCCUGUAAUUCCAACACUUUGGGAGUCAAGGCGGGUGAAUCACCCGAGGUCAGGAGUUCAAGACCAGCCUGGUUAACAUAGUGAGAUCUCAUCUCUACAAGAAAUUUUUAAAAAUUAGCUGGGCAUGUUGGUACACAUCUGUAGUCCCAGCUAUUCAGGAGGUUGAGGCAGGGAGGAUCACUUGAGCCCAGAGGCUGGAGGCUACAGUGAGCUAUGAUUGUACCACUGUACUGCAGCCUGGGCAACAAAGUGAUACCCUGUCUCAAAAUAAAUAAAUAAACAAAAAUGAAUAAAUGUAUGGCCAGAAUCCUCAAGUGGACCUUCAGUGGUAUAUAGCC